UUUUUUAAGAGGUGAUAAUUUUGUAUUGUAAUUUGAUAUUGUGUUCUGUGUAAUAUGGAAGACAAUCAUAUUAAAAAUACUUACAAGCGCCUAUAAAAAAAUGAAUAUCGCUUAGUCUAUGAAACAAAAGCAACAGAGUUGGAAAGAGAGAAUUGUUAUUACAACAAAGAGAGAGAGAGAAAGAUAGAGAAGACUGUGACUACAACAGAGAGGGAGAGAGAGAGAGAACUUUAACUACAACAGAGAGAUAGAGAGGUCUGUAAUUAAACAGAGAGAAAGAGAGAACUGUGACUACAACAGAGUGAGAGAGAGAGUGAGACAGUGAGAGGGAAACAUCUAUCCAUAGAUUUGCAUUUAACAAUAGUAAGAAUAAUAAUUAAAAAAAAAAAUAAAAUAAG